CACGUGUAGCAGUGAAAUGCGUAGAUAUGUGGAGGAAUACCAAUGGCGAAGGCAGCCCCCUGGGAUAACACUGACGCUCAUGCACGAAAGCGUGGGGAGCAAACAGGAUUAGAUACCCUGGUAGUCCACGCCCUAAACGAUGCCGACUAGUUGUUGGGAAUUUACAUUCUCAGUAACGUAGCUAACGCGUGAAGUCGGCUGCCUGGGGAGUACGGUCGCAAGAUUAAAACUCAAAGGAAUUGACGGGGACCCGCACAAGCGGUGGAUGAUGUGGAUUAAUUCGAUGCAACGCGAAAAACCUUACCUACCCUUGACAUGUCACUAACGAAGUAGAGAUACAUUAGGUGCCCGUAAGGGAAAGCGAACACAGGUGCUGCAUGGCUGUCGUCAGCU
rnacentral:rRNA from 1 species